rnacentral:tRNA from 1 species
GUCGGGAUAGCUCAGCUGGUAGAGCAGAGAUGAAU